UGAAGUGAUGAUGGCAAAGAGGCCACACCCGUUCCCAUACCGAACACGGAAGUUAAGCUCUUUAGCGCCGAUGGUACUGCAUGAGAGAUUGUGUGGGAGAGUAGGACAUUGCCGGGA
rnacentral:rRNA from 1 species